CUCUCUCUCUAUCUCAGGUCACACAUUAGCUGUCUCUCUAUCUCAGGUCACACAUUAGCUGUCUCUCUCUCUAUCUCAGGUCACACAUUAGCAGUCUCUCUAUCUCAGGUCACACAUUAGCAGUCUCUCUAUCUCAGGUCACACAUUAGCAGUCUCUCUCUCUAUCUCAGGUCACACAUUAGCUGUCUCUCUAUCUCAGGUCACACAUUAGCAGUCUCUCUCUCUAUCUCAGGUCACACAUUAGCUGUCUCUCUCUCUAUCUCAGGUCACACAUUAGCUGUCUCUCUCUCUAUCUCAGGUCACACAUUAGCUGUCUAUCUCUCUAUCUCAGGUCACACAUUAGCUGUCUCUCUAUCUCAGGUCACACAUUAGCUGUCUCUCUCUCUAUCUCAGGUCACACAUUAGCAGUCUCUCUAUCUCAGGUCACACAUUAGCUGUCUCUCUCUAUCUCAGGUCACACAUUAGCUGUCUCUCUCUAUCUCAGGUCACACAUUAGCAGUCUCUCUCUCU